rnacentral:misc_RNA from 1 species
AAGAAACUUGUAUCCGCGGUCGAAAGUUCAACGGUUCCCGACACGCAUGCGCAGUAAAGUAAGUUGGCGCGGAAUACCCGGAUGUGCUGCCGCACGAGCACGAUACGGUAGAAGGAAGAGGCAUGACGCCAUGUUUUGAUGUCGUCAUCCCCCCCAAACCUCUGUUUCUUGAGCAGCACAAUAGUCUGUCAGUGUUUUUCUGUUGUGCGCCUCGUGUUCCGUGUUCCUGGUGGCCGUUUUGGCGUGCUCCAUUCGCCCUCCCCUUCGUCGCGUCGAAGUUGGAUGCUUGCCUUUGAGGCUAACGCUUGUCCCUGUGGGUUGACGGUCGCUGAAGGUGGCCUUUCGUAUCUUUUCAUGUCCGGGGAAGUAACCGCGGAGCGGGGGGGGUCCGCGAGCGUCGUCUACGUGGUGGUAGUGUCCUAGUGCGGGGAGGACGAGCGACCACGAUCCUCCGCCGAACGGUUAAUCAAAGUGGUUACGUCACACAAUCCUGAGCUAGGCUUUCGAAAGAAACGCCUUACUAAAGAAGUGGACGGCGACGACGACGGGGACGAGGACGACGGCCCUGCUAAAAUGGAGCUGCGCCUGCACUCGCCAGCCGGAGCAGAACCGAUUGUCUAUCAAUGGCCCCUCACCUCCGGAUCCGGAUCUGAUCGUCAUGAUGGUGCACUUGAUGUCGUUGAAACAAUGAGAUGGGUUUGUGAGGAUUUGCCUGACUUAAAGCUACCGUUAGAAAAUAAUAUUUUGUGUGAUUAUGACACAAGAGAUUAUGAAAGUAUGAAAAAUUUGUGUGACAGAUUUAAUAGAGCAAUUGAUAGUUUAGUUCAGCUGGAGAAAGGCACUAGUUUACCAUCACAAAGGUUAAAUAAACGACCUAGUCGAGGUUUAUUAAGGCAUAUACUUCAGCAAACAUAUAAUCAAGCAGUAGUGGAACCAGAUAAGUUAAAUCAGUAUGAGCCCUUUUCACCAGAAGUAUAUGGAGAAACAAGUUAUGAGCUUGUAUGUCAAAUGAUCGAUCAGAUUGAUGUAACAGAUGAUGAUGUAUUUGUUGACUUGGGGUCUGGAGUUGGUCAAGUAGUUCUUCAAAUGGCUGCAGCAACUUUAUGUAAAAUUUGUAUUGGCGUUGAAAGAGCUGAUGUACCAUCAAGAUAUGCACAGAGUAUGGAAGUAAACUUUCGUAAAUGGUUGAAUUGGUAUGGAAAAAGAUGCGGCGAGUAUCGUUUGGUAAAAGGCGAUUUUUUAGCUGACGAACAUCGUGAAAGCAUUACUGGAGCUACAAUAGUAUUUGUCAAUAAUUUUGCAUUUGGUCCAACGGUGGAUCAUCAGUUAAAAGAAAGAUUUGCUGACUUACGAGAUGGUGCACGUAUCGUAUCAUCAAAGUCAUUUUGUCCCCUCAACUUUCGCAUCACGGAUAGAAAUCUCAGUGAUAUUGGCACAAUAAUGCAUGUUUCGGAAAUGUCACCGUUAAAGGGCUCUGUUUCGUGGACUGGUAAACCAGUGUCUUAUUAUCUACAUGUAAUUGAUCGUACCAAGUUAGAACGUUAUUUCCACCGCUUAAAGAAUAAUAAACAAGGUGGUGAUGAAAAUUCUGAUUCUGUGAUAAAUAACACUGCCAGCAGUAGUAAUAAGGUUACAAAUAGAGGUGAAAGAGGUGACAGAGCUAAACGAGAUCUUUCGAGGCAGUUGGAUAGCCCAAAUCAUUCAGAGCAACAGGGAACGAAUAGUGAUUCAGAUGCAGAUGAGAAUAAUAUUAAAAAUCGUCGGCAACCAAACAAGAUCCGUAGAAAGUUGAAUAGAAAAUCCAAUGGUAUAACAAGACCUCCAGCUAGGGGCGGCAAACAGAGAGGAAGAGGUGUAAAGAAAUCGAAACCCAAGAAAGCAAUUAAUAUUUCUGGCCUGGACUUACUACAUAGUCAAACAUUACUUAGCACAUCUCCACAAGCUUUAGGAAAGAAGCCACCGCCUGCGCCUGGUUGCGUGGAUCAACAACUGUCUUCAUUAUCACUUUCAUUACAGUCACAUUCCACCUCUGUACAUGAAGAACUUAGUAUACCACCUGCUCCGUCCGCCACUCCAUAUGCAUUACAAAUACUUUUGGAUUUAUUCAGGGACCAAUUCAUGCUCAUGUUAGAAUCAAUGAGAACUCCUUCAUACAGAGUAUCAGUCAAUACGGAUAUUGCAAAAGAAAGAGAAAGAAAUUCAAAGUUACAAUCGAGAGCGGCGCAAUUAGAAAAACAGAUAAAAGUAUUAAUUGAUGAUAGUGUAGCACUUUUAAAAGCAAGAAUGACAGAGUUAGGUAUAAAUGCAACAUCACCUGGAGAUUUACUUGCUAAAGCUAAGGAGAUAGUUCUUAGACACAAACAGUUACAAGCCAAAGCAAGUAAGUUACAAGCUCAAGUUGCAUCUAUGGAGAGUGAACAAUCGAGACUAACUGCGCUUAGACAUCAAGAAUUACAAGAAAAAUAUAGUAAUCUUACAAACACGAACGGCAUAUCAAACCCACCACAGCCACUUACUCAGGAUUACAUAUUGAAAGAAAUUUCCGCAACUUUGUCUCAACGUAAAAGAUUACAUUGCCAAGUGUCUAAAUUGGAACAAGAACUAAAUGUGUUGGAACGAGCAAGCAAUGAAAAACAGGUUGCUGCAAUAGCCCAGCAACAGAGAGAAGCAUUAAGCUCUAAACAUUCACAAAAUCAACAUCAUCAUCAGCAGCCAAAUGGGAAGAGUGGAUCGUCACGAAAAAAUAGAGAAGGGCGUUCUAGAUCGCAAGAAUGGCCUGACGUUCCUGAUAUCGGAAAGAUACAAGAAAACAAUCCAGAAAUAUUGGCGCAAAAGAUUUUGGAAACUGGCAGACAAAUAGAAGCUGGUCGAAUAUUAAAUAGACAAAAUACUAAUACCAGUAGUAAUUCUAGAACCAGAUUGCCACAAGCAUCUCUCAGUUUUUCUACUACUUCGUCAUCCAUUUCAUCCUCACAACCACAAAUAAAUAAUAAAGAGAUAACAAAUAGAACUCAGGAGCCUCCUAGGGUUGCAAAUUUCGAGGAUAGACUGAAGAGUAUUAUUACGAGUGUUUUAAAUGAAGAUCAACAAAAUAGAAAUAAACAACAACAAAUGCAACUACAGGUGCAAUUACAAAAUCAGACUGAGCCAGAUAGAAAACGUAUUGCAUUGCCGCAAAAUGUUUCUACUCCUGAUUAUACACAGGUUUCACCUGCGAAGUUAGCACUUCGUCGUCAUCUCUCUCAAGAACGUCUUUCUUCUCACUUAACACCAUCAGACAGGCCAACAAUCGAUUCAAGGCAAUCGACUCAUGACAAUCGUAUUGUAACGGGCGGAAAUGGACUGCUUGGUACUAGAACAAUUGGUGAUUUGGUCAGUGGAGAAAUAGAAAGAACAUUAGAAAUAUCCAAUCAAUCUAUAAUAAAUGCAGCUGUUGAUAUGAGCGCAAUGAUAAGGCCGGAAACUGUAUAUUCUCCUAUUAGUAGACCAGCUAGUGCAGAGGGUGAUGCUGGUUUAUCAACUCUCGCGCAUGUAGCAAGUUAUGCUCCAACUUCUUCUGCAGUUUCAACAUGUACUCCUACUACCACCUCCAGAUCAUCUGUAUUAUUUACUCCAGUAACACAACCACAAAGAUACACACCAGUUCAGUUACCUCGUGCAGAUAUCAAACCUUAUCAUGAAUCGUAUUUCUCUGACAAUCCUUCUCAGUCACUCACACAGGCUCAUCCUCCGCCAUCAUUGCAUUCAUCGCAGACAACAUCAAACGGCGAACUUUUACCCGUAGAAGGAUUAGCUGCAUCUUUACAUGCCCGUAUAUUAAAUAAUCACAAUACGAAAACCGAGCCAAUGCUGACUACGAAUAGAAGAUUUCAACCAUACCCUCGUUAUGCAACCAGUAGCAACAAUAAUGGCAGUGCAACAACAAAUGGUAUGGUGACAGCUAUUUGUCAAUCACAACCUUCAAUGUCAGUGAAAACAGAGGCAAUCGUAUCAUCAGUAAGCACGAGCGGAGCGCCAUUGAGUCCUCUCGUAGAACCACAUUCUAAUACGUCUACGCCACUAGUCGAUGAACCCCAGAUGACAACGCAGAGACAACGAAAUGGUAUUGGCGAUGACGCUUGUUUUAUUAGAGAUUGAGACACAUUCAGAGGGAGAAAUCAAAAAGUACGGCUGCCUGUGGGUUGGUUCGUGGUUGCUGACGGAGAGGCGGAUUGGCAAGACCGUAUCAGUUCUGGAUUCGAUAGACUGGUUGCCUUCGCAUCCACGGAG